rnacentral:rRNA from 1 species
GAUGAACGCUGGCGGCGUGCCUAAUACAUGCAAGUCGAGCGAACAGACGAGGAGCUUGCUCCUCUGACGUUAGCGGCGGACGGGUGAGUAACACGUGUAUAACCUACCUAUAAGACUGGGAUAACUUCGGGAAACCGGAGCUAAUACCGGAUAAUAUAUUGAUCCGCAUGGUUCAAUAGUGAAAGACGGUUUUGCUGUCACUUAUAGAUGGAUCCGCGCCGCAUUAGCUAGUUGUUAAUGUAACGGCUUACCAAGGCAACGAUGCGUAGCCGACCUGAGAGGGUGGUCGGCGACCCUGGAACUGGGACGCGGUCCAGACGCCUACGGGAGGCAGCAGUAGGGAAUCUUCCGCAAUGGGCGAAAGCUUGACGGAGCAACGCCGCGUGAGUGAUGAAGGUCUUCGGAUCGUAAAACUCUGUUAUUAGGGAAGAACAAAUGUGUAAGUAACUAUGCACGUCUUGACGGUACCUAAUCAGAAAGCCACGGCUAACUACGUG